AAUCUAUGAUGCGGGUAUUUCUAAAUCAACAUUUUGAAAUGUUCCCAUGCAUCAUAGAAACUUCACCAUGUGUCUAAAAACAACAAUCCCUGUUCUUAAUUGU
rfam:Gossypium arboreum cultivar AKA8401 contig_9262_7, whole genome shotgun sequence.